rnacentral:rRNA from 1 species
UACGUAGGGUGCGAGCGUUAAUCGGAAUUACUGGGCGUAAAGCGUGCGCAGGCGGUUCGUUGUGUCGGCGGUGAAAUCCCCGGGCUCAACCUGGGAAUGGCCGUUGAAACUGGCGAACUGGAGUGUGGCAGAGGGGGGUGGAAUUCCGCGUGUAGCAGUGAAAUGCGUAGAGAUGCGGAGGAACACCGAUGGCGAAGGCGACUCGCUGGACAAGUAUUGACGCUGAGGUGCGAAAGCGUGGGGAGCAAACAGG